GGGAAAUGUGAUGAAUUUAGAUGAUUUGGGUGUUGUGGAGAGUGAAUUGGUUCCAGUGAAUGUGAAUUUCGUGGGAAGAACUCAUGUUGUUGUGGAAGAAAAUGGUACUGCAUUUGGGUACUCUUGUAAUUCUCCACAGAAUAGAGGAUUUAAGAAAGUUUCAAGCUCAGGGAAUAUGAGGGAAGAGGAGUACGAGGAUUUAUGCGUGUCUCCUGGGAGUUUGCCGGACAGGUUGAUGUCUGAUAUUUAUCAAUAUUUUGCUAACAAGACAAGUCCUGGUGGAAAUGGGUCGGCGAGGAGGCAGAGAAGGAGGGAGAGGGAAAGGCAGGGAAGAAGGAAGUGGGAGC
rnacentral:misc_RNA from 1 species